CUUUACUGUAUCCUGGAAUUGAAUUUGGGUUUAUUUUGCGCAGUAUAGGUGGGAGACUAAGAUAAUAUAUUUACGGAUAUAUAGGAGUCACAAGUGAGAUACCACUCUAAUUAAACUAGAAUUCUAAUCUUGAUGCCGUUAUCCGGCCAAGAGACAUUUUCAGGUGGGCAGUUUGACUGGGGCGGUCGCCUCCUAAAAGGUAACGGAGGCGUGCAAAGGUUUUCUCAGGCUGGUCGGAAAUCAGUCGUAGAGUGUAAAGGCAUAAGAAAGCUUGACUGCGAGAUCUACAAAUCGAGCAGAGACGAAAGUCGGCCUUAGUGAUCCGACAGUUCUGAGUGGAAAGGCUGUCGCUCAACGGAUAAAAGUUA
rnacentral:rRNA from 1 species